UACGUAGGGGGCCAGCGUUGUUCGGAAUUACUGGGCGUAAAGGGUUCGUAGGCGGUGCGGCAAGUCGGGAGUGAAAUCUCUGGGCUUAACCCAGAGGCUGCUUCCGAAACUGCUGUGCUUGAGUGUGGGAGAGGCGCGUGGAAUUGCAGGUGUAGCGGUGAAAUGCGUAGAUAUCUGCAGGAACACCCGUGGCGAAGGCGGCUCACUGGUCCAUUACUGACGCUGAGGUGCGAAAGCGUGGGGAGCAAACAGG
rnacentral:rRNA from 1 species